rnacentral:rRNA from 1 species
GACGAACGCUGGCGGCGUGCUUAACACAUGCAAGUCGAGCGGUAAGGCCCUUUCGGGGGUACACGAGCGGCGAACGGGUGAGUAACACGUGGGUGACCUGCCUUCAGCUCUGGGAUAAGCCUGGGAAACCGGGUCUAAUACUGGAUAUGACUCCAUGACGCAUGUUGUGGGGUGGAAAGCCUUGUGCGGCUGAGGAUGGGCCCGCGGCCUAUCAGCUUGUUGGUGGGGUGAGGCCUACCAAGGCGACGACGGGUAGCCGGCCUGAGAGGGCGACCGGCCACACUGGGACUGAGACACGGCCCAGACUCCUACGGGAGGCAGCAGUGGGGAAUCUUGCGCAAUGGGCGAAAGCCUGACGCAGCGACGCCGCGUGAGGGAUGACGGCCUGGUGUAACUC